GCGAGCCCGGCUAGGGCGGGGGACGUGAGCCGGAGUCCUGGCGCGCCUCCUGGCCGAGCGCAGAGCUGCGGGGGACGCGGGUCCGAAUCCGGGCUGAGCUCGGGAAAGCUGUGCCCCAGAGUCGGAGACACUUCGAGAGGGCGAUCCUGGCCCGCGCCCUGAGGGCAGUCCCGGGAGGGAAUCUGUUGGAGAUGGUUUCAAGAUGUAGAACUCUUGUAAGUGAAGUAUCCCAAAUGAAUUUGGAACAUCCACAUUGAGACUGCUUCAUAUUCUGAAAUUGAAGAGUGCCACGGGAAGGCUGUAUCACUGUAUCAUGAGCUGCUUGGGCUUCUAAAGUGUUGGAUGGAGUUUUAAUCAUAUGAGGUA